AAGAUAUCCUGCCAAAAAAUUUGAAUUUACAUUGUGUCUCGAGAACUCCUGACAGCCUGCCCUUUCUUAACAUUUCUGUUGCCGGAUUCCGGCAAGCUUUGCCGGAAUUCUUUUCUUAGAAGUUUUAAGACUUCAACAGGUUUGGUGUUAUUGCUCCUUUUACUCCCAAUUUAACACUCACAAAGACUUGCAUUAAUUCAAUGGCUAGCCUGUGGUCAAGGAACACUGAGGUAAAAAAUGAGUCUAACGAAACUAUGGUGGUGAAAGUGACCCGGGAUCCUGGCAAUUUUAAAGUAAAAGAAUUUAGAAUCCCAGCUGGUGAUCACAUAUAUAUGUGCUACAACGAUUUUGGCAUUGAACAUAAUCCAGAUCGUCCUGUCAAUGUUAGAGUUUAUGUGGGAGAUGAACAUAAGUUAGAUGUAAGAGCAUCCAGAAUAAGGGACAGUGGGAAAAUUCUAUUGGGCUACGAGAAUGGCAGGGUCACCCCCACUUUUAUUGACAUAUUUAUGGUUGCCAGGAUCGGAUUAAUUAUCAAGAUGAAAGGCGCAACAAAGAAGAUUAAAAAGUUAUUGGGGAAACAGAUGGAGAAGAGGUAGAAGAAAUAGUGAAAGGGU